CCCCUCCCAACAGAAGCCUGAAGGUGGGUCAGAAGCCGUCCCCAAUCAAGUGAGCUAUAAUUAGAGCUGAAAUGCUAUUGCCAUUAGGCAAAUGUUCUGGGCUUUUCCAUUGUGACUCCUGGCUACAUUUGAUAGGUACAGAACACAGAACCAGAGGGAAACAGAGCUGGGAGAAACCCCAGCCAGCUAGGGACAGACAACAUAAUCGGGGAAAACACAAGAAUUGGGACCUUCUCUCAAAUCCCUUUCCCGCUCAAUGCAACUCCCUUCACUGACACUAUUUUAACACUGUAAGAAUCUAACAUCUUAAUAUCUAACACACUGUUGUGUUGGGGAGAGGGGGCUUGCAGCCAAAAUAUAAUAAUACAAAUAACACUGCCAUUUACUCCAGCGAUGAUACUUGCAUUCUUUCAUUUGAUUCUCACAAUCCCUCUAAGGCAGGUACCAUUACCACAUUUUACAGAUGAGUAAACUGAGGUUCAGGAUGACUGGGCAGCUUGCCCGAGGUCUAACAGGUUAAAAGACCUGAACCCAACUAUAUCCAAUCCCAAACUCACUACACUUUACUGCCUAUAAUCUUUCUUUUAGGGGUAGGGAAUGGGGCUCCAUCCUGGGAGCUGGCAUAGCCCCAGGAACCUGGUGGGCCGUGGAGGUUGCUAUGGCAACACCAAUUAAAUGGAUAGCAGGUUGGCUGCUAGGUUCUCAUUCAGUUGGGAAGCAGUGAGCAAGCCUGCUAUCAGGUCCUGCUGCCCCAAAUUCUGCCUGACCCUGACCAGAGCUCCCACUCUAGCCAACUUCCUCCAGGCAGUCUUCCGCCUUGCCUACACCGACCAAUGUAACACAGGAAGUGGGUAUCAUGGCUCUUGCACCCCAGCUAGCACAAGCAAGGGGGAAAGGGGGUCUCAGAAUACUAAGAGUUUAGGAAUCUAGGAAUGGAGAAGAUUCUGGAAUUCCGGAGUGUUACUGAUCAGGGCCCAGAGGGAGGUGGGAAGAUAUGCAGGGCUUCACAGUGAGUAGCUGGAAGAGCCCACAGGAGAGCUGGGCUUCUGUCUCCUGGGGUGCUGCCUUGGCUACUGCUCCCAUAGACGCCUUAUGAAACCUCAGAGAGCUCGAAGAGCCUUUUUUCAUAAAAGGGAGACCUGCCAUGGAUAAGCUGUGUGUUUUUGAAGGAAGUCUAUCAACUUCUCUGGGCCUCCUGUUGUCCCUCAACUGUGAAAAGCGGGCCUGGGAGGCAGGAGGAAUGAGGCAGGAGGGCCCCUGCCCAGCCCAGGGGAUGGGAAGGCAGCAGGUUGCCAAGAGGAUGAAAGUCACAAGUGGGCGUGGCAGGGCUUUGUUCCUUCUGAAGCUCAGGACAAAGCACUGGGCUUCCCUCCUGCCUGGGAGCCUUCAGGACGGCAUGGAGUUUGGCCACGUGGUGGGAGCGCCCUGAGUGCGUGGCACAGAAUGUUCAACUGGUUACCUCUCCUGAGCCUCACAGCCUCUCAAGGAAGAUCUGAGGAGGAAACUGAGGCCCACCCCCACCCAGACUGAGGGGCA
rnacentral:lncRNA from 1 species